UGCUAGCUAAAAACCCAGGAAGCGUGUCGCACAGAGGAGCAGGCAGCACAGGACACCAUUUCCAAUGACAAAUAAAAUCUUGCUCAGUGUAGCUGGUUUCUCUCACCAACUACCCCAGCCAGCACUCACCCCUUCCCCCAUAUCUCCCUUUGCAAUAAAGAUGCAGAGAGCAUCAGAGACCAACCCCAGGUGACUCCUGGCACACUCAACCCACCUGAUGCGCGUGAAGGCGUACAGCAAGUACGCAGCGGUGUUUCCUCGGUCAUCCAGCAUCUUGUCAAAGGAGAACACGUAAUCGUUUAGUCUGUUGUGGGAGAGAUCUGCGUAUUUAAUACAGCCAAAAGCGACUGACGUCUGGGCAGCUUUCAGCUCUUCUUCUGUGAGAACCUGUUGCAAUUUCAAAACAGGUAACAGUCAUGAGGAAGAACACUACGUUGGCAUCACAGACCGCAACAGGCAGCCUUGGCCACUCAGCAUGGCUCGAGAGCAAAGCCCAGGCUGCUGAGGGGAUUUUACCCACGGGGCUCACACUCACAUUUCCACCUUGAGACACCAGAUAACCCCAUAUUCAGCCCUCACUUCGCUGGCAAUCAAAUGGCACCACAGCCCUGCGCAGGCUAAGGCUGACUCCAUCUACUCCUGAAAGGCUGCAGGACUUCUGUGCCCCAUGAUGCCAUACAGGUUUGAUGCUCAUACUCUGCUCCUGCUCCUUACAAACUGUGCACACACAACAUGAACACUUGGCCCUCCUACCCUUACAAAGCAUUUGGACAGUCCAAAUGCUCACAGAACCUCUCUCUAAUGGAACAGUGCCCUGUCAUCACAGCAAAGCACUUUGUGUCUGACUCACUCAUAUGAGCCUUUGGGAGAUUUUCAAGGUGUUUUUUUUCUGUGCUUCCUCAUGUUCCUCUUUAAAAAGGGACCUUUCACUUUCACCCCAUGCUGCACAGCACCAAGGAGCUGCACCUCCCAAUUCCACUGCCUCACACAAUGCUUGGACACAGUUUGGUCCUUCUGGUUCCAUUACAUGUCCCACACUGUCCAGUUCUCUCCAGGCCAUCAGGAUCCAAGACGGACAGAAAUCUCAUUAACCAAUCUUACCAAAUCUUGCAGCAAACUCAGCCACAGCACCCAAGGGAAAGGGGGAAGCCUGAUGCCAAGCCCCCUGCAGCCAUCCAUCACCAGAAGUCACCUCCAACCCAGAAGGCCAAAGCUGCAACUUUAUAUUCUACCACCACCUCCUGCAUCCUGGGGAAAUCACCAUUGCUGCCAUCACACCAGUGAGACCUGAUGAUACCUGUAAGGCCAGCUACCCUGCCAGGCCCAGUUCUCCUCCCCGUCCUCAAGAAGAUCUGCAGUACCAGCCAGAGGCCAGAGUGCUGCCCAAAGCUCACAUUUUCUCACUUCUCAGGGAUGACCUUCUUUCCUUGCCCAAACUGCUAUCAAAUAAUCACACUCAUUGUGUACACAACUCACAGCACCUCCUGGGCGCUUUGGCUGUCCAUAUUCUCAGCUCACAUCCAGAAUGCGGAAACCAUAAGUCUGUGAACAAAUCUGGGAAGUUCUCAGGAAAGAUCUAAGCAAUUUGUCACACCUACCUUAUCCCGUUCCUUGUCUUUCAGCUUGUCCAUGGCUCGUUUCAGCCCUUCUUCCAGCAGAUCUAUGAGACGCACUGUAUCCCCUGAACGAGUUUUGAACUUCUUCCUGAAAACACACAGCCAAAAUGACCACCUGCAGAAGAGGCAAAACACUCCCACAAAACAUGGGAAUCUCAGAGAACACCCAUGAGGUGGCCGGGAGAGGUGACCAGGAAGGCUCCAACAGUCAGAACCAUCCCAGUUCCAGACAUUAGGUGGGACACGAUACCAGUGCCAGACCCCUGCCCAGCCCAGUAAGCCAACUCUGCUUUUGUAACAAAGCUACAGCAAAACCACCCAGUCUGCAAAGCGCACUGGUUUAACCAACACCUUCACAGAGACACAGAACAGUGCUGGAGCACAAGGCUUACAGACCAGGACACAGAGGUUCUUUUCUCAGUGUUCAUUUCAUCCACCAUGAGGCAGGUAGACAAUAAUGAAAAUCAUGGCUUUUACUGUUGCCAUCUACCAGUAUUCCCAUCAGCUUCCUCUGAACUUCCACCAGCCAUUCCCAAUGUCUCUCCCCAAAUGCCAGGCAGCAGAAGCCAGGUCCAAGAAGGAACCUGACCACAGCACCAAUGACUAUGUGGAACAAGGACCGUGUUAUGCUCUUCAGAGCAUAUACAGAGGAAAAACUACAUCCAAAGACUUACUUGUCUUCUCCCAGCACCACUCCGAAUGCGGCAUGGGCCACUCUGGUUACUUUGGGAUCAUACCAGCCGAUCAUCUGUCCAGCUGCAAACACCGUUUGUAAGUGCACCGACUGCAAGGAACAAAUACCAACAACUGAUUCUCAACCCGUUCCUCCAGGUAUAGUUUUCUUCCCAGUUUUAUCUCCUUCACAAUGAGACUUAAAAUGUUUCUAGCUUCACCGAAAGUGAAGUUCAACCUGUCAAAGAGUUGUCUUGGAGUAGCAACCAGCAAAUUCCCAUCACUCCUCACAUUCAGAGCUGACAACCUUGCACUUUCUCAGGUAAGGAGAGACCCAAGUAUAAGCAGUACAAAUCUCACUCAAGAUCUACUGAGAUUUAGCCUUCACCCACCUCCAGUCAUAACUGAGUCUCUCCCUAAUCAAUCAGUUCUAGGUGCUCUUCAUGGAGACCAUCAGCCACCAAACUAGAUUCACCAUUACUCUGAUAAGGGCAAGAGUAAUUGUACCACACUAAAAACCCUAUGGCUUCUCCCUGUGUUACUGUUGUAUCUGUCAUUUAACACACUUACUGAUGAUCUGUACCAGCAGUGCCAGCAGAGGUUGGGGUACUCACCUGGCCACUAUCGACAACAUAAAUAAGGAUAUCGCCCUUCUCUUCGCACAGCCUGUGUUUAAGAGCAGCUAAGUCAGACGUGUCGUAUGUGUAACCGCCGUCUGAUUUCAUGAUCGUCAACGGGACAGGGAAACCUGGGACAAACACGAUCUUCCGGCCGUCAUCGACCUGGACAAAUCCUAGAAAAGCAAUGGAAAACAUUCUGUGCUGUACCGAAUGGGGAGCUCUGGGGGCCAGCACAGGCAGAAACACUUGCCUAACUUGACGCUACCAGAAAGAAAAGGCCACGCACUCACAUUAUCAAAUAAUUAGUGGCUCAAAAUAUGAAAAAACCUAAAAGAGAACUCCCUUGCCAACCAAGUCACAUUCUGUACUCCACUUCUAGAACUCAGACUACACACAAGGAAGCUAAUCUGUACAGAUCUGGCCUUACCAAAGAGACAAAAUUGGAUCUCCUGUCACUGGCAUCCAGAUCCACCUUUAUAGCCACAAAAAAAGCAUCAGAAAGUAUGGCAUUAAAGGCAACAGGAACUCUACAGAGAUGCAGUGAGGACUUAACACAAAGUCUUUCAGAGAUAAGGCUAGUCUGAAUCCUUCAGAUGCUGAGAUUCGACAACUGCCAAAUCCAGACAAGAAACACAUAAAACCAGAGACUUGUCAUGCUUCUAUUUGGCUUCUUGCCAGGCUCAAAGUCAACAGGAUCCAAAAAUGCCACCAUCUUCACAGAUAUUUCUCAAAGUUCCCUGUCCCUGCGCAGGCAUAACACUAAAACCGGGGAGCCUGUCAUAUAUCACUGCUUGACUAAGAAUAAAAUAAAAUCCAGUAGAACCUCAUGCUAUUUUGCCUACAAAUCUCAGAGACAAACUGCUUUUGGUGUCAGCAAGAAAAACUCAAGCUUUCCGGAAUGAAACAUGCAAGAAUCAAUUCUGCUAAUGCUUCUUUGGGAGAAAACACCACAAAAGAUCCAUUUAGGGAAUGUGGCUGAGAAAAAGAGCAGGGGUGGGGAACAUGCACUCCAAAAACACUAGUCCUAAGUCUUGCUCAAGAGCAGUGAGGUUGCCUCGCUCAUCCUGACAGCUGCAGAAUUUCUGACUCUGAGACCAAAAGCCUCACCUUUAUCUUCAAAUUCUUUCACAAUGUCUUUCAUCAUGUCGUGGUAGAACGAUUCUCCUCUCUCUAUGAGUGUGAUGUCCAAGCAGUUGUAGAUUUUCUGGAACUCUUGAGGAAGGAAACAGAACAAAAUACUUCCAUUAAAUGCAAACAGAGGGAAUUAAUGGCACAUGUUUAUCAAUAGGCACAGCAAGUCCCUAAAGGCAUUUUCCGUCUUGGUGAAGCCAUCAGACUAAGACUUGAGAGGUAAAAGAUUUAGGUGAAAGCCUCCACAGGCAGCCCAGUACUUUGGUUGCAUCAGCUUUUUUCUUUAAGCUUCUCACAGCAGUGCAGCAGUGAUUUUCAACAGAAAACUAGAGGAUGGGCUCAAACAUAAAGGUGAGGAAAGCCACACUGUUCUAGUGCCAAGACACGCUUCUGGAUCUGGCAAAGUCACCUUUCCGCGACACGUCACAGAUCAGUUCCCAUGCUUUGAUGAAGUCUGGGUUUUUGCUCUGCAGCAGCACCACACAUUGGUAGGCACGUUUCUUAAAUUCCUCCUCAGUGUCAAACCUCCUCUUGGAUUCCUACAGUAAAACACACCACAUGAAAAUGCACCUUUUUCUCCCCUGAAACAAGCUAACAUUCAUAACAGGCUCUCCAAGCACACUCAACCCAAAAGCCAGAGAGGCAGCACACUUACAAAGUCCUUUAAUCAUGCCCCAUACAGACAACUCAAUACCAGAUACUGAUAUUAAUUACCCAGUGGCAGGCUACUGCAAUAAUCUAUUAACAGUGAUUAAAUUAUUUUGUUUCUCCAAGAUUCUGCUGCAAUUUGAAAAGCUCUUCAAUCUGCUUUUCAGAUGUUGACAUAAAUAUCACACUUAUUUGCUACAAAUACCUUGUAAAAAGCUUGGAGAUCCCCAAUGGGAGGAGAAACAGUUAAGUAAUCUGGAAACUUGUCUUGGAGAUGAGCAAUGAGCAUUCCAAACUGGGUGCCCCAAUCUCCUAAAUGGUUUAACCUUGAAGCAAUCGAAGAGCAUAAUAAUAAUGAAUUCUCAAACAUAUGCUUUAAAAUACACGCAUUUUAAAAAUAUAUAUUCUGAAAGAAGAACCACACAUAAUAUCAGAAACCAAAACCAGGCAAGCCCCCUGCAAUUUCACUUCAAUAAAGCUGCUGCCCAUCUUGAUUCCUGAAUCUGCUAUACUUGCUCAGCUUAGUAUCUUACUAAACAUAACUGAUUAUUUGUUAUGUGCUUAUAAAAAAACAAACAACAAUACAGACCAAAGCAUGCCAAACAAGCCCACCCCACCCAAAAGUCGAUUCUCACCUCAAAACAUCAUAACCUGCAAAUUCAAACAGUCGGCACAUGCUUUCUCCAAUGAUGGUAGACCGCAGGUGGCCAACAUGCAUCUCCUUUGCAAUGUUUGGGGAUGAAAAAUCCACCACCACCUUACACAGUACCAAAGGAAAAAAUGAAUAAAAGGCAGAGUCAUUACCACACUCCAUGUGUUUAAUCUGGGUUUUGCUGGGCGGGCGGGGGGAACAAGGCUUGCCUCCGCUGACCCUCAUGCUCUCUUUGCUGCCAACAGCACACAGCUGGGGACACCAGAGCAGGCUGGGGGCUCUGCUGCAUCCACCCAGCAGAGCCACCAGAGCUGGGGACACCAGAGCAGGCUGGGGGCUCUGCUGCAUCCACCCAGCAGAGGGUCAGGGACCCCCCAGACCAACCCUGGCACAACACGCCAUCCCCAGGGAGCCCUGUCCCUCACCCAGGACAGACCACACCAGGGGCAUGUGGCCGACUCCAUGGCCCCCAGUGCCAUCCCAUUUACUCCGCUGUAACAACCAGCUGACAUGGAUGCUCAACAAAUCACUGCAGGGGGGAAUUUCAAAGCUACCUGCAGUCCAUCGUGUUUCAUCUAUAUGGGAGCAGGAUGCCGAGGCGCUACUGCCGUACCUUUUUCCUUUUGCCCACAGCUGGUGGCUGAACUCCAUUUAUCAAUAAACUGCUCAGCUGCUUCGAUACAAAAUCCUUUCUCAAGUGGACAUUGAUAAAACCUUUAGAGGAGAAAACCAGCAAUGAGUGCCGGGGCUGCAGAAGUGCCUCAAGCCACUUUCUGUUUCCUUCCCCCUUGGAUUUUUGCUUCCUCGCGUCAAGGACAAGAGCAUAGGAAAGUAGCUUGAUAAAACAAAAAUGUUCAGCAACAGGACGACAAAGCUGGCACUAGAAGACAAUUUCUGUUCCCAGAUUACAAGAGCCUGUUUCACACCUCUGUAGCCUUUACUGUAGGACUUAGAUUCUGUGAGCUAGUCCACUGACACAACUCUUUUUUGCACACUGUCAAAUGUGAAUUUAUAAAAACAUUUUUAAUAAAAUAAAUAAUCUUGCCUGGGUUUGUAGAAUACAAAA